UAAAUGCUAAGUGCCUAGCACUAUAGAGCUGUGACAUAAAGGCUAAAUGCUAAGUGCCUAGCACUACAGAGCUGAGACAUAAAGGCUAAAUGCUAAGUGCCUAGCACUACAGAGCUGAGACAUAGAGGCUAAAUGCUAAGUGCCUAGCACUACAGAGCGGAGACAUAAAGGUUAAAUGCAACGCACAGUCAAAGACUGUGUAGCGUAGUGGUACGGAAGAGCGGACAAAGAAUAGAGUCGCCAUAAUGGUACCGACAGAUUCAAAACCACAAACAACUUUAGAGCAAUUGCUGUAUGCCAGGGGAUAUAACAGCAACCAUAUCUCAUCAAAUAACUCUCCAGUUAUAAAGUAAAGCCACAUAGGCAAGCAAUAUUAUAUUCGUUCUAUCCCUGCACUCGACCACUUAGGACUUCAGUAUUGUGCUCUUACUGUUACUGAGCCGUGCGAUGCAACGUGAGCUGAUGGCUGUAAUGCCAGACCACUGUUAUGAGGCAUAAAAGAGUCUUAAAAAUAUCUUGUUUCAAUAACACAAGCAUGGCCAGCACCCAAAAGCAGAGCUAGAGGGAGAACAGUCAUUAGUAGGUAGGAUGUCUGGGUAAGUGCUACAAUUGAUCUGUUUAAAAGGUCCAAUGUGACUGGCUGGCUAGUAAAGGUCCAAUGUGACUGGCUGGCUAGUAAAGGUCAAAUGUGACUGGCUGGCUAGUAAAGGUCAAAUGUGACUGGCUGGCUAGUAAAGGUCAAAUGUGACUGGCUGGCUAGUAAAGGUCAAAUGUGACUGGCUGGCUAGUAAAGGUCAAAUGUGACUGGCUGGCUAGUAAAGGUCAAAUGUGACUGGCUGGCUAGUAAAGGUCCAACGUGACUGGCUGGCUAGUAAAGGUCAAACGUGACUGGCUGGCUAGUAAAGGUCAAACGUGACUGGCUGGCUAGUAAAGGUCAAACGUGACUGGCUGGCUAGUAAAGGUCAAACGUGACUGGCUGGCUAGUAAAGGUCAAACGUGACUGGCUGGCUAGUAAAGGUCAAACGUGACUGGCUGGCUAGUAAAGGUCAAACGUGACUGGCUGGCUAGUAAAGGUCAAACGUGACUGGCUGGCUAGUAAAGGUCAAACGUGACUGGCUGGCUAGUAAAGGUCAAACGUGACUGGCUGGCUAGUAAAGGUCAAACGUGACUGGCUGGCUAGUAAAGGUCAAACGUGACUGGCUGGCUAGUAAAGGUCAAAUGUGACUGGCUGGCUAGUAAAGGUCAAAUGUGACUGGCUGGCUAGUAAAGGUCAAAUGUGACUGGCUGGCUAGUAAAGGUCCAAUGUGACUGGCUGGCUAGUAAAGGUCCAAUGUGACUGGCUGGCUAGUAAAGGUCCAAUGUGACUGGCUGGCUAGUAAAGGUCAAAUGUGACUGGCUGGCUAGUAAAGGUCAAAUGUGACUGGCUGGCUAGUAAAGGUCAAAUGUGACUGGCUGGCUAGUAAAGGUCAAAUGUGACUGGCUGGCUAGUAAAGGUCAAAUGUGACUGGCUGGCUAGUAACGGUCAAAUGUGACUGGCUGGUUCAUAAAAAAGGCAUCACAUGAGUCAGAAGUGGUGCCGUUCCCCACUCACAAAAAUUAAAGAUUCAAAUCUGAUUCAAAAUGUUCCGCGAAUAUUCAAAUCGUCGCCAAAACCACAAUAAUAUUGUGUAACGUUAGCUAAGUAAGUAGAGUGACUGCCUACAUGCUAAUGUGGGGGUCCACCAGAGGACUCCCCCAGGGCUAGGGCCUGCAGGUCAUGACACUGCAGAAG